rnacentral:lncRNA from 1 species
UGAAUAGCAAAAGGAAGAAAAGCACUUCACAUAAAAUAGACAGGCAUGCUUUCAGGACUAACUAAGCAUGGAGAAAAAGAAGUGUUCUAUAAGAAGUUUGGACAAGACUCUGCAAGAAGUUAAGAGGUCCUUAAAGGCAACUGUGAAUUAACGGAGACUAGUUUUGAGAAAAUCAGUCCUGAUUUGUUUCUCCUGGAGUUUUCUUCUUUAUGUGAUCCUUCAUAAAAGCUGCUAAUAUGGGAAAGAUUGAAAUCAGCAAGUUUCUGGCUGUAAGCUAAAAGAGGCUCUUGAAUCAUAUUUCCGCCUGCUUAGCAAAUUUCUCUUGCGACAAUUGGAUGUUAUUUGGGGUUCCAUACUAGCAGGAAGAAGUACAAGCAAAGCUAAGUCAUUUUGAGAAUAAAUAUUAUCUCUCUAUAUAUUUGUAAAUGUUAUUUUCUUUUUUUUUGAGGUUUAUGAUUGAUCCUUGGCAUGUGUCCCCUUGUGUAUUGCUCUACUAAAAAUAGCCUAAAAAAGAAUUUUCCCCUCGAUGUGGAGCUUCUCUUUAGUUACAAUUCUACUUUCUCCUUCACUUGAGUAUCAGUCUUCAGAGAACUACCAUAACAAAGGAGUGGAUACAGAUAUACGCAAAAAAGUCUAUGAGAAAAUUAGUACAUUAAAUUUGUGAAAGCUCAUUUAAAGUAAUUUUCUACUAACAAUUUUAAUCAAAUGUAUUAAUCAUAUUUCUAUGCUUAGUGAUGUUAAAUAAAAAUUUAAAAGGUGGCAAUCAAUAAACAGAGAUAAAAGCUUCUCAAGAAUAAAUGAAAGGAAGUAAUAAAAAGACUCACUAAGCUGAAUUGCCUCCUAUCAACAGCAGCUGAUAAAAUAUUAAAAGAUUUGCCUUGUGUAAUGUCUCUGGAGAGCUGUCUUACUGAUGUACGAGGCCAUGAUUGACAACUUUGAGACUUUGCUGGAAGCGACAAAAGUAUAUCUAUAAUAUUAUGCUGAAUUGCAUAGGUCUUUCUUCUUAAAUGAGGCUAGAAAUAACAUACCACCAAGUGUUUGGCUUUUAGGAAAUUGAGCAUUUUCUUUAGUUCUAGCUGCAGUUUAAUUUCCUCAGAAUUAGACAUUAUGCGGUAUCUGGAACGUUAAAAAAAAAAAAAA